AACGAACGCUGGCGGCAUGCCUAACACAUGCAAGUCGAACGAGACCUUCGGGUCUAGUGGCGCACGGGUGCGUAACGCGGGGGAACCUGCCCUGAGGUUCGGAAGAACUCCCCGAAAGGGGUGCGAAUACCGGAUAAUGUCUUCGGACCAAAGAUUGAUCGCCUUUGGAUGGGCCCGCGUUGGAUUAGCUAGUUGGUAGGGUAAAAGCCUACCAAGGCGACGAUCCAUAGCUGGUCUGAGAGGAUGAUCAGCCACACUGGGACUGAGACACGGCCCAGACUCCUACGCGAGGCAGCAGUGGGGAAUAUUGGCCAAUGGGCGAAAGCCUGAUCCAGCACUGCCGCGUGAGUGAUGAAGGCCUUAGGGUUGUAAAGCUCUUUUACCCGGGAUGAUAAUGACAGUACCGGGAGAAUAAGCUCCGGCUAACUCCGUG
rnacentral:rRNA from 1 species